rnacentral:rRNA from 1 species
GACGCACGCUGGCGGCGUGCCUAAUCCAUGCAAGUAGAACGCAGUUGCGAACGGGUGAGUAACGCGUAGGUCACUGCCUCCUAGCGGGGGAUACUUCUUGGAAACGUUAGCUAAUACAGCAUACUGUGAGAUGGACCUGCGUUGUAUUAGCUAUUUGGUGAGGUAAAGGCUCACCAAGGCGACGCUACAUAGCCGACCUGAGAGGGUGUACGGCAACACUGGGACGGUGACACGGCCCAUACUCCUACUGGGAGCAGCAGUAGGGAAUCUUCGGCAAUGGACGGAAGUCUGACCGGGCAACGCCGCAGGAGGGAAGAAGGUGUUCGGAUCGUAAAGCUCGGUUGUUAUGGAAGCGGUAACUAACCAGAAGGGGACGGCUAACUACGUGCCAGCAGCCGCGGUAAUAC